rnacentral:rRNA from 1 species
UGGUGGAUUGAUUUGUCUGGUUGAUUCCGAUAACGAACGAGACCUCAGCUCUUAAAUAGGGGUGUAAAUCAUCUUUUUAGGUGAAUGGAUUGGAUUAGGUUAACUUUUUCUAAAAGUUAAUCCCCAGUCUUGGAUCCUGGAUGAAUUUAUAAAAUUUUUCCUCUUCUUAAGAGGAUAAUCUGGGUUUACCAGAAUGAAAGGAGGCAAUAACA